CCUAACCUUGGACUGGACUCGCCGGCAGGAGUUGCGGAACAUGUUAUCAGCACGCUUCGCUCCAUCAACUCUCCAUCGAGCAUGCGCCAAGCCUCCACCAAGCAGGCUUUCAGCGUUCACACGAAGGUAUAAGAUCCAAUCUAUCUUAUUGCAAAAAUGAACUCUUCAUGUCAUCUCGGUUCCGUUUUUGCGAUUAGUCUAUAUUUUGGAUUUAAUCUAUCUAUAGUGUGGAUGUUUAUCCCAAGAGGUACGUGACGAAUACGUUUCCGACUAAUUUCGAUGUUCUUGGAUCAAGAGGAAUUUGUUGACUGCACUGUAGGGGACUCGAUAGAGAUCGUGACUCACAUGGUCACGGUACCGCCGCAACGAGCCUGUUGUGCCAAGCGCCGCAUUGUGGUUAUACUGGUCGCCGAAGUUGUCUGUUGUCUGCUCGCCAUGAGCCGCCGCACGUGCCCACUGCACGCCUGCGCUGCAAGCCUGCUGCUCCGUUGCAUGCCUCACCAGCCCGUCGCGCCACCGCGAGCUUACUGCUGCACUGCACGCCCCGGCCGGUGAUGCGUCGUCCACGCCCGCCGCUUGCCUGUGCCCGCACUUUCCAUGCCGCGCCUGGCCACGCCCGCAGCGUCGGUCGCGCUCGCCGCGCCACGCGUGGCUACGCCCAUAGUGCCGACCGCGCUCGUCGCACCACUCGCCCCGCCAUGCCCCAUCCGCACGCCACGUCGUCGCGCCCUGCUGGUUGGCCGGCCGCCAUGCCCCUUGCCCAGCCGCGUCCUGCUUGCCGCUCGGGGCCGACACCUCAGCCCGCCUCGGCCUUGGCCAGAUGCAUCCGCCACCACCCCACUAUAGUGCAUGGAAAAC
rnacentral:lncRNA from 1 species